rnacentral:misc_RNA from 1 species
AAAAACUCAAACACAUAAUACAAUUCAAUACAACCAAAUAUAAAUAUAGUAAUAAAUAAUAAGUUAAUUAAACAAUAUAUAUAUAUAUUUUAAUUUCAUUAGCCAUAGAAUCACCAUUAUUGUUCUUGCUUUAAGGUUAUCAUUUGAAAGUUGAAUCUUGUUGUUGAUGGAAACAUUAAAAAUACAAAACUGGCCCUGGGCCUUUGGGGAGCAGCUUUACGCAAGCUCACCCAAACCCAGCAAGUAUACGUUGCCAACCGCUACGAGACUACAACUCCUUCGGAACCCCGUCUGCUCUCUCUAUCCAAGGCCAACCCAAGCAAAGGACAUUUUAGACAAUUCAUAAAAGCACCGCGUCCGUCAACCCUGGCGGCUCGGGUCUGCUUUUAGACCAUGAAACGCUGCUAAAAACAGUCUUAAUAUCAAAGAAACCCUCAGGAAAAUUCCUCCUCUUCUCUUACUCCUUUCUGAUCUCUCACCUACUAAAAGCCCCCUUCCACUCUCCUCUUUCUUUCUCACCAAACACUCUCACUAUGGAUUCAGACCAAGGAAUUCCCAGCAAUGAAUACUACAGCAAAGGCUAUUCUUUAAGCGGUAGGAUUAUGCUAACCGCGAUUGUUAUCCUCUUCUUUGUGAUAAUUAUGACUGCUUGUCUCCACCUCUACGCCCGCUGGUACCUCCUCCAUGCUCGCCGCCGUCAAGUUCGCCGUGCCCGGAGCCGUCGCACUAAUCUCAUAUUUUAUGUUGAUCCCUCCAACCCCGCAGCCGCCCAUAUUACCAUUCCCUCCCGUGGACUGGAUGCUGCAGUUCUAAAGUCGCUGCCGGUAUUUGUUUAUUCUUCCAAAACUUACCCAGAUUCGAUUGAGUGUGCCGUUUGCUUAUCCGAAUUCGAAGAGAACGAAAAGGGCCGGAUCUUACCCAAAUGCAACCACAGCUUCCAUAUUGAGUGCAUCGACAUGUGGUUCCAUUCUCACUCCACUUGUCCUCUCUGCCGCUCCCCUGUUGAACCCGUACCUGAAAAAUCUGCCCAGUUAGAUUCCUCGAUGAAUGUUACUGAAAACGGUUCCAGCUCCGAUUUAAGCGCCACCUGCCAGCAUGAGGAAGACCAUGUGGGUGCAUCUACUUCGUCUUUUGGGGGUCGAAGGAAACCAGCGGAACUGGUGGGUGUGACAAUAGAAGUACCCAGAAGAACUGGUAAUUUCGAAGACGAGUUAGUGACCGAGUCACCGACUUAUAGAUCGCCGAUGAGUCGUAUGUUGUCUUUUAGGAGGAUUCUGAGCAGAGAAAGAAGAGGUAAUAUGUCUCCCUAUUCAGGGAAUCCAACGAGUUAUGUUGGGUUAGUGAGCGAGUCAGACCUGGAAAGAGGCAGAGAUGAGGCAAACUCAGUGGUGUGAGCAAAGUGUCACGUCGUGUGUACACCAGAGGGCGUUGAAUGAGAAACAUCCGGGUACCGUCAGCUGUAGCUAGACUCGACUCGGUUGGAAGCGAUUAAUAUUAGAAGAGGGCGAUUGAUGUGCAGGUGGCAGUGGAUGGGCCCUGCCGUAAAAAUUCAUGCCAGCGUUGGUUGCCUGUGUAUAAUUUCUUAGCAUUUAUUGAUUUUUUUUAAUUAUAAUAUUAAAAUCUUUUUUUAAAAAUCACCUGGCAUUUAUUGGGGCUUCGCCAUACGUCUUAAGUAGAUCCAGCCAGAGUGGCCAGAACCGAUUGGGUAAAGGCUAUGAAGAAAUUGAGAAACCUUUGACGAGUUGCUGCUUGCUGGAAUAUUGGGGGUGCAUUUCCUGCCUCAUCUAACCGAGUGAUGAUAGUGCGUGGGCUUAUAUGAAGUCAUACUAGUCAAUCACAUCUUUAACAUAAUGCUUUCUUUCACAAGAAAGUUAGCCUUCCAUCUAAUCAUCUUUCAAGUUUACUUCCCCCCAACAUUUUGCAAGUGUGAAUCUUUAUUGGACCAUUUAUGAUUAUAUUAUUCAGCAUAAGCAAAUGACAAGAGCUCUAUUAGAUGAAACUAUUGAAAGGAGAGAUGUUGGAGACUUGUAGGAUGAAAAGGGUUAUACAAGGAUAAAAUUUUUAUAUUAAAAAAAAAUGGGAUGAAUGAUAGACAUAUAAGUCAGAAGAAU